rnacentral:lncRNA from 1 species
CUAUAGCUAUAUAUAGAUAUUUAUAUAAAUAACUGUCAUUAAUUUGAAUGAAUUUAAAUUUCUUUGUUUUUUCUUUUCUUUCAUUUUUUGUUCUCAAGCAACUCGUUUUGAGGCAACCCGUAAAAUUAACUUGCUGCUGAAGACUGAUGAACCUCUAGAACUGACCAAGAGGAAAUCGGUCCUGCCUCAAAAAUAUCAAGAUGAGUCAGAUAACUCGACCAUCACUGACAGUCAGAUUCUUACUCAGUGGUUACAUGUCAAGGUGAUAUCAAGUUAUAUGGAGCUCUUUUGUAAUAUUUCUCAAUGAAUGUUACAUCAAAUUGUGGAAGUGAUUUUUAGUUCUGAUUUGCAGUUAUAGACUGCAAUGUUUAGCUUUAAAAUAUAAACCAUCAUUUGUAGUUCUUGUUACUGAACCUGUUGUUUUUGCAGUUGAGCUACUAAACUGAAACAUCAGUUGUUUUUUUCUUUUUCUGUAUUAAUGAUUUGAUUUUUCUCUCUCUGGACACCCAGAAGUCAAAGGUACAGAAAAGAAAAGACCCUGCUGAAGACUUUCUUGAGAUGUACUGUCAUCCAAAAACAAGUUCAAGGGAUAGAAAUCCAGAAAAGACAGUAUCUGAAUUAAUGCAGGAGAUCAAGGAGCUGAAAGAGGAGAACGCUAACUUGAAGGAGAUGGUUGUUCAAGAUAUACCAGAACUCAUGAACACCAUGAAAAAUGUAAUUAAGUCGGUUGUACCUACUAAGCGAUCCAGGCUUGAGCUUAAUACACCACCGAUGCCCCCCCAGAGUUUUAGUUCCUCAGCACCGUCCCACCCUGGAGCUACAGAAUCCAGUUCCGUGUCUGACACUGUGACUCCAUCCCAGAAGGACUCGCAGUCUUCUAAGGUGGAGAUCUACCCUGGAACUGGAGUCCUGGUGGAGAAACUGGCGUGGACGUACGCUUUAAAUUCACAUUCAGCCACUGGAUUUGUGAGACAUCUAGUCACAGCAGUCUUCCCACCAGAGAUACUGCUGGUGAGCAAUCUUCGCGGGGGCAAACGAGGUGGAGGCGAUGCUCGUCUACCAUUGGACAAGCAUAAAUUGGAUGCCAUUUACAGUAUGUUUUCAGCUUUUUAUUUAUUUGUGUGUGUGUGUGUGUGCAACAUUUUAGUCUUCAUUUACCAUAAUGACAGUCUACCACCAUUGGUUGUACGACUGGUACCAAGAGAAUCUGGCACUAUUUGACAUCAACAUUAUGAAAUGAUUCUUCCUAUUUUUAUUGGUCUCUGUGACAUUACAAAGUACACUAAGUUCUCAUCUGUGUGUGCAUAUGUGUUUGUGUGUGUGUUCAUAUGCAGGUGCAACUCUUGAGAGGUGGCCAGGGACACAGAUCGCCAGCAUCGGAACCACAAUAAAUGGCAAGAUUACAGAACUCCGGGCGAAAAGUAAAAAUGUUGCCGUGCCAUAAGUUGUCAUGGUUACGCUUUGGGUUGGUUCUUAAGGUUGUUUCCUUUUUUAUUUUUAAGGCCCUUCCUUGUUUGUUUAGUUUAGUUUGACUUCCCUCGUCCCAAUCUUUCCUGAUCAUUGGCACCUAUGUCUCGUCAGCCCCGUUAGUAUAUAUGUCUUGUCACUCCCUUCCUCUUGUGCUGAUCCGUACUGUUAGUUCCCCCCUUCAAGUGGUUUUGGUUCUAUUGUCAAGCUUAGAUAAGUCUGUUCUCAGUUUAUGUUACUCUUUUGGUAUUUGGAUUCCCUGUGGUACAGCGUCCUUUGUUAAAUAAAUAGAUUUUGUUUUUUCGAACUCCUGCUGCUUCCUGUCCUGCAUUUGUGUCCUCUACCAACCCUAAACGUUACAGGAUUGUUCCUUAUUUAAAUUUAGUUUUUAGUGUUAUAGACAUUGAAGAACUGUAUUUAUGUGAAGGGAAGGGAAUUGUAAUAGCUGAAAUUAGUUUUAAGUGAUGUGCCUGUUUGUAGUUGCAAUUUGUAAGGCAAUUUCAGUGUCCAUAUACCGUAAUUUCAAAUGAAGUCAUGCCACUUCAACAUGUGCUUUAUAUAAGUUUAACAAUUAACACUUGACAUUAUAC